AUGCCGACCAUCAAGCAGGAGCAGCCGGACCGGGAGGAGCUGGGGCGAAGGGAGGGCGUGGAGGAGCAGGAGCAGCUCCCUCUCCCGCCUCUGGCUGCUCGGCCCAUCCCCUGCCCUGAGCUCUGUGGAGCAUGGCCCCUCACUCCCACCCGCACCCUCUCCCGGAGGACGCCCAACGAGUUCCAGUUCGUCAGCGGCCAGGAGACCGCCAAUGACUGGAAGAGGCGCAUCCGGCACAAAGGGGCCGCACUUCAACGGGUGCAGUUUAAUAAAGGAAGUGAAGAAAGUGCCCGGCAGGUGGUCGUUGCCUCAGAAAUCCAGAAGUCCUUGUGGUUCCUCACCCUGGCUUGGGCUCUGCUUUUCUUUACCCUCCUCAAUUUCUGGGCAGGUGCCACUUCACAGCCAACAGUGACUCAACCUGCCUCCCAAUCGGUGUCUCCUGGACGAACAACGACCCUUUCCUGCUCCAAAAGCAGUGGCAGCUGGAAUGAUGGAGUUUACUGGCUUCAACAGAAACAUGGGCAACCGCCUCACUUUGUGCACUGCAAUGGCUGCCGCAGCAGAGGAGCAGGGAUCCCCGACCGCUUCACUGCCUCCACCUCAGGGAACUCAGGAUCUCUCACGAUCACCAACGUUGAGGAUGGAGACGAGGCCGUUUAUUACUGUGCUGCCUGGUCUAGCACUGCUAGCAUGUUUCACGGUGGUACAACCUGAUGGGGAACUGAGACA